rnacentral:rRNA from 1 species
UACGUAGGGGGCAAGCGUUGUCCGGAAUCAUUGGGCGUAAAGAGCGUGUAGGCGGCCAGAUAAGUCCGCUGUGAAAUCUCGAGGCUCAACUUCGAGCUGUCGGUGGAAACUGUCUGGCUAGAGUCCGGAAGAGGAGAAUGGAAUUCUUGGUGUAGCGGUGAAAUGCGCAGAUAUCAGGAAGAACACCCGUGGCGAAGGCGGUUCUCUGGGACGGUACUGACGCUGAGACGCGAAAGCGUGGGGAGCGAACAGG